UACGGAGGAUGCGAGCGUUAUCCGGAUUUAUUGGGUUUAAAGGGUGCGCAGGCGGAGGUGCAAGUCAGCGGUCAAAUUGCGGGGCUCAACCCCGUCCGGCCGUUGAAACUGGGGGCCUUGAGUGGGCGAGAAGAAGGCGGAAUGCGUGGUGUAGCGGUGAAAUGCAUAGAUAUCACGCAGAACCCCGAUUGCGAAGGCAGCCUUCCGGCGCCCUACUGACGCUGAGGCACGAAAGUGCGGGGAUCGAACAGG
rnacentral:rRNA from 1 species